rnacentral:rRNA from 1 species
GCACGAAAGGCGUAACGAUUUGGGCACUGUCUCAACGAGAGACUCGGUGAAAUCAUAGUACCUGUGAAGAUGCAGGUUACCCGCGACAGGACGGAAAGACCCCGUGGAGCUUUACUGUAGCCUGAUAUUGAAAUUCGGCACAGCUUGUACAGGAUAGGUAGGAGCCUUUGAAACGUGAGCGCUAGCUUACGUGGAGGCAUUGGUGGGAUACUACCCUAGCUGUGUUGGCUUUCUAACCCGCACCACUUAUCGUGGUGGGAGACAGUGUCAGGUGGGCAGUUUGACUGGGGCGGUCGCCUCCUAAAAGGUAACGGAGGCGCUCAAAGGUUCCCUCAGAAUGGUUGGAAAUCAUUCAUAGAGUGUAAAGGCAUAAGGGAGCUUGACUGCGAGACUUACAAGUCGAGCAGGGUCGAAAGACGGACUUAGUGAUCCGGUGGUUCCG